rnacentral:lncRNA from 1 species
GCGUGCGUGGGGCUGGAGAUUGUGAUAGGUGAUCAGGUGAGGGCGUGCCAUACCUGGAUCGAUAGCCUUACCAUACCUGGUGGUAAUUUAAAUUUAUUACCAUAUUCGAUAUUUCCCGAGUUAUGGCCUUACCAUACCUGGAUUGAUAGCCUUUGGGGUAAUUUAAAUUUAUUACCAUAUAAUUAUCAUAUUCAAAAUUUCCUGAGUUAUGACCUUACCAUACCUGGAUUGAUUUAUUACUAUACGUGGAUUAAUUAUGAUUUAUUACUAUAUGUGGAUAGCCUUACCAUACCUGGUGGUAAUUUAAAUUUAUUACCAUAUUCGAUAUUUCCCGAGUUAUGGCCUUACCAUACCUGGAUUGAUAGCCUUUGGGGUAAUUUAAAUUUAUUGCCAUAUAAUUACCAUAUUCAAAAUUUCCUGAGUUAUGACCUUACCAUACCUGGAUUGAUUUAUUACUAUACGUGGAUUAAUUAUGAUUUAUUACUAUAUGAUUUAUUACUAUACGUGGAUAGCCUUACCAUACCUGGUGGUAAUUUAAAUUUAUUACCAUAUUCGAUAUUUCCCGAGUUAUGGCCUUACGAUACCUGGAUUGAUAGCCUUUGGGGUAAUUUAAAUUUAUUAUCAUAUAAUUACCACAUUCAAAUUUUCCUGAGUUAUGACCUUACCGUACCUGGAUUGAUUUAUUACUAUACGUGGAUUAAUUAUGAUUGAUUAGCAUAAAUACGUUGGGUAUUG